rnacentral:rRNA from 1 species
UGUAUAAUGGGUCAGCGACUUAUAUUCUGUAGCAAGGUUAACCGAAUAGGGGAGCCGAAGGGAAACCGAGUCUUAACUGGGCGUUAAGUUGCAGGGUAUAGACCCGAAACCCGGUGAUCUAGCCAUGGGCAGGUUGAAGGUUGGGUAACACUAACUGGAGGACCGAACCGACUAAUGUUGAAAAAUUAGCGGAUGACUUGUGGCUGGGGGUGAAAGGCCAAUCAAACCGGGAGAUAGCUGGUUCUCCCCGAAAGCUAUUUAGGUAGCGCCUCGUGAAUUCAUCUCCGGGGGUAGAGCACUGUUUCGGCAAGGGGGUCAUCCCGACUUACCAACCCGAUGCAAACUGCGAAUACCGGAGAAUGUUAUCACGGGAGACACACGGCGGGUGCUAACGUCCGUCGUGAAGAGGGAAACAACCCAGACCGCCAGCUAAGGUCCCAAAGUCAUGGUUAAGUGGGAAACGAUGUGGGAAGGCCCAGACAGCCAGGAUGUUGGCUUAGAAGCAGCCAUCAUUUAAAGAAAGCGUAAUAGCUCACUGGUCGAGUCGGCCUGCGCGGAAGAUGUAACGGGGCUAAACCAUGCACCGAAGCUGCGGCAGCGACGCUUAUG